UUUAUUUGUUAUGACGAAGGUGCUUAAAGCAAUUUGUAUUUUGCUUUGGUGAAAAGGGAAACAGGUGAGAAGCCUGUACUGUACCCGCAGCUGUAAUACUAUGAAAAUGAAUUCGAAAAAUCCACUGCAUUUUAAAUGUGGGAAGGUUGAAUCAAAAUUAUAUUAUAGUUUAGUCAGAAGACCUGCCUAAGUUGUUGCUUGUAA
rnacentral:ncRNA from 2 species